GACGUAGGAUGCGAGCGUUGUCCGGAUUUAUUGGGCGUAAAGGGUGCGUAGGCGGCUUGCUAAGUUUGAUGUGAAAUCCUGGGGCUCAACCCUGGGACUGCAUUGAAUACUGGCAGGCUAGAGUACUGGAGAGGAAACUGGAAUUUACGGUGUAGCAGUGAAAUGCGUAGAGAUCGUAAGGAAGACCAGUGGCGAAGGCGAGUUUCUGGACAGUUACUGACGCUGAGGCACGAAGGCCAGGGGAGCAAACGGG
rnacentral:rRNA from 1 species